AACUAAGUUAAACCUAAUAACCGUUCUAAGACACUGUAAAAGAUUGAGGGAACACAGGGCAAGGAAUAAUUUGCGAUAUGUUGUAAUAAUAGAUUGAAAUACUUAAAGAACAUAUAUAUAAAUAAAUAUAUAGUUUUACAAUAUGAAUAUUGAAAGGGCAGAAUCAAUUAGCACAUUAAGCGAGCAUGAAAAUGAGCUUGAUGAUUUUGAAGGCUCAAUUAUUUGGUCGCAGGAUGAACCACUAUCUGCAAAUGAGAUUUUAGAAUUUACUCCUGAUUCUGAAAACCAAAAUCAUUUGAAAUCACUCUGUCGUUUAUGUGCAGGAGAGACCACUAAUCCUGUAUAUAUUUACUCAGAAUUUGGAGAGUCUUUGAGGCUUUUGGAUAAGAUAAAUACAUGCCUAAGUAUUAAGGUGAAAAAAACCGAUCCUCUACCAAAACAACUCUGUCCAACAUGCGUUGAAAAGAUUACUUGGUGUAACGAGUUUGAUGCUCAAUGUAUCAGAGCUGAGGAAACUCUCGUUGAAAUUCUUAAGCAGAAACAUUCUUUUCUAAGUACUAAAACUGAUGAGAAUUCUUUGGAGAAUGCUCAUUCAUGUCCACUAUGCGUUGAAGGACGAAUGAAAAUUUUUGAAGAGUAUAAAGAGAACCAAAAAGAUUCAGAUUUGUAUGAUAGUGACAUCGUUCUCGAUAGUAGCGAUGAAGAACAAAUUCCAAGCGAGCUUAAGGCUGAUGAUGAAACCGAAAAUGGAACCAUAACGUUGUUUUGCUUAGGAACCAAACAAAAAUACUUGAAGUGCGGUGCUUGUAUGAACCUUUAUCAUACUAAAGAAACUUUAGACGAGCACAAAUGUAAACCCAACUUACAGUGCACAUCCAAGCCAUAUAAGUGUGAUGUUUGUUUUGCCACGUUUACUUUUGAAGAACGAUUGCAAUUCCACCAACAUUUUCACAAAGAUGCGAAAGCACUAUAUUGUGAAAUUUGCAAAAUUACUUUUGGAAAGGAACUUAAAUUAUUUUAUCAUUAUAAAAGGUACCAUUGUAAAGAUGGUAGAGUAUCUUGUUUACAGUGUGGAAAAUUAUUUGAAAAUCAAGAUGGAUUAAAGAAACACGUUUGCGUAGAUGGUAAAACAAGACCUCAUGUAUGCGACGUGUGUUCUAAAGGAUUUUGCGAUGGGUAUACUUUGAAACGUCAUGUAGUAACUCAUCUUCCAGAGAAGCCAUACAAAUGCCCUGAAUGUUCAAAGAGUUUCACACAAAAAUCAAGGUUGAAUAAGCAUGUAACUGGUCAUAGUAUUGUUUUAGAAAACAGUCAAACGAUUUGGAGAUGUGUUCGUUGUGGCGAAGCAUUUGGAUCUUUCGAGACCGCGGAUGAGCAUUGCAAAAUGCAUGAUGAGAAAAUCAGUCUUAUCGAAGAGUUGCAAGUGUUGAAACUGUAUCAUUGUGAAUUCUGCAGUAGCCACUUUGCAGAUAUGGACCAUCUAAAGACUCAUCAUGAAUCGCAUAUAAUUGAGAAACCAUAUUCAUGCAACCAGUGCAAUUCAUGGUUUAAAUCUUUUGCAGAGGCUGUACUUCAUUGGAAGGAACAUCCGAGAAUAUUUAAAGUUUUAGUGGUAUUCUUAUGCGAUGUAUGCGAUAGAGAUGUUAAAGAAUUGUCUUUGCUAUACAAACACAAACAAAAGAGGCAUCAGCCAGUAGCUAGAAAGUCGGAGAAAAACGAGAAAAAGUUCAUUUGUGAGCUCUGUGGAAGCAUUUUUGUAAGUGCAGAAGAUUUUCAGGAACAUGGAAAGUAUAGGUGUUCCAAAUUCCCUUGCGACAUUUGCGGUAGUCUAUUACCAACGGCAAAUUCUUUGAAUGCACAUAAGAGAAGACACAGUGGACUUAGGCCGUAUGUCUGUAAUAUAUGCGGGAAAAGUUACACACAGUCGAGUCAUAUGUGGACUCACAAAAGAUUUCACAUGGGCAUUAAACCCUAUGCAUGCGAAUAUUGUGAUCAGAGAUUUACAAUAAAGCCUGAUCUAGCAGAUCACACUAGGAAAAAGCAUACCAGGGAAAGACCAUUUAAAUGUGAUGUUUGCGAUAAAGCUUUCUUGACUGGUUCUGUUUUCUAUCAACACAGACUGAUACAUAGGGGCGACCGUAGAUAUAAGUGUCAUUAUUGUGAAAAGGCAUUCACUAGGACAGAGGCUUUGAAUAAUCAUAUAAAGAUUCACACCGGCGAGAAACCUCAUGCGUGUGAUGUUUGUGGGAGAUGUUUCAGGCAAAAAGGCGACAUGAGAAAGCACAGACGCACACAGCAUAUUGCUAAGCAAGAUGCAAAGUAAAUUAAAGUAGUAUACUAUUUCUGGUAAAUUUGUAUUCGUACACUGAAUGGGAAUAGGGUACUUCUAUAUGUAAAUAAUCAGUUCUAAUAACAUUAUAUGAAUAAUGAUGAAUAAUGAAGACUUGUUGGAGGUAGUGAUUUUUUAAUAAUAUAUCAUACAAUAAUAGAAUAACAUUCUGUGAACGUAUAUCGUACAUUAAUAGUUUUACAACUGUUGCAGUGAAAUUAAUAAACUUUAUAUAAAUAAACGAAGGUUAAAAAUAUAAGUAUUGAAUAUAAUUUUAAAUAUUGUACUGUAGAAUUAUUAUUUCUAUGGAAUUCAAUGAAAUUCACAAGCAGGUGGGCACAGGUGCGCAGAAGCAACACGUACAGAACAGGUGAUACAACCGAUGAUCUCGUGAUUUACAUCACCGAACCUUACGGUUCUGGCAAGUUGCAAUCGUCAUUGAUGAAAGAUUGCAUAU